UAUUCUUUUCGGGAGUGAAAUUUGCACACUCCUAUUUGCAAACUACACACCCUUUCACUUUUUAAAUAAUAUUUCAACUCAACAUUUUUCGCACUUCCUAAAAUACCCUCAAAAUCAGAUUUUUCUUUUUUGUCUUUUUGGGUCCUCUCUCUCUCUCUCAUCAACUCAAUUCAAAAUCCCAAAUACCAAAUGCUAUUAAAUAAAUUUGAUGAUGCAGGACCGUCUAUUGGGCGCCGGACUUGGAAGCAUACUCACCGGAAUCCGACGAAGCAUCUACAACUCCAUUUCUGAGGGACGUCGUUUUGCGAUCUUGAUAAUAUAGGUUGAUUUUGAUUUGGGUGGGUUGUUAAUAAUUUGGUGUGGACUUUUGAAUAGGUGGGAUUCUAGGUCGAUUGUGGGAGACUUUGAUGGGCAUUCGAAACGUGUUUUGAGCUGUUGUUUUAAGCCAACAAGACCCUUUCGCAUUGUCACAUGCGGUGAGGAUUUCCUGGUCAAUUUCUAUGAAGGGCCUCCUUUCAAAUUCAAGCAGUCUCACAGGGAUCACUCGAAUUUUGUGAACUGUGUAAGCUAGGUACUCUCCAGAUGGGAGUAAGUUUAUCACUGUAAGCUCAGAUAAGAAGGGUCUUAUUUUUGAUGGGAAGACUGCGGAGAAGAUCGGAGAGCUUUCAUCGGAAGAUGGCCACAAAGGCAGCAUUUAUGCUCUUAGCUAGAGUCCUGAUGGCAAACAGAGUUUGACUGUGUCCGCUGACAAGUCGGCGAAAGUAUGGGAUAUAUGUGAGGAUGGUAAUGGGAAGGUGAAUAAACAUUGACAUGUCCUGGAUCAGGUCGAGUGGAUGACAUGCUUGUUGGUGGCCUAUGGCAGAAUGAUCAUAUAGUUACUGUUUCACUUGGCGUUGAUCAGGAAGGGGGUGAGGAAGAGCCUUCGCAGACGAGAAAGGAGAGUAGGGAACGAUUGGCGGUGCGGUUGGGUCGGGGCUGAGAUGGGCGCGAACCCAGUCGACUACUGCUCGAACCCAUUUCAACAAGAAGAAGACGAAAGCUUCAGAAAUGAAUAAAGAGACUGAGAUUGAUGAUAAUGGAAGCACGACCCAACUGAGAAAGAAGGGUCAGAGAGAGAGAGAGGAUCCAAAAGAAAAAUCUACAUUGAGGGUAUUUUAGGAAGUGCAAAAACUGUUGAGUUGAAAUAUUAUUAAAAAAUAAAAAAAGUGAACGGAUGUGUAGUUUGCAAAUAGGGGUGUGCAAAUUUCACCUCCCAUUCUUUUAUCUAUUAAAAUCCAAACUAUGAAUUUCACCCAAAAAAAAAAAAUUCAAAACCAAAUUAUGCCUGUAUGUCAGUAUGUGUA